rnacentral:rRNA from 1 species
GACGAACGCUGGCGGCGUGCUUAACACAUGCAAGUCGAGCGGUAAGGCCCUUUCGGGGGUACACGAGCGGCGAACGGGUGAGUAACACGUGGGUGACCUGCCCUUAGCUCUGGGAUAAGCCUGGGAACUGGGUCUAAUACCGGAUAUGACUCCAUGACGCAUGUUGUGGGGUGGAAAGCCUUGUGCGGCUAGGGAUGGGCCUGCGGCCUAUCAGCUUGUUGGUGGGGUGAUGGCCUACCAAGGCGACGACGGGUAGCCGGCCUGAGAGGGCGACCGG